rnacentral:lncRNA from 1 species
UUUCUCCUUGUAUGGAACCCAGUAAACAAGUGGAGCUCUCUUUUUCAUCCCUAAGAUCUGUUAUCUUCUCUGAAUCCGUUUUUACUGUUAUUUCUUUUCUUUUUAUCUCAAGCUCCUUCUUCACUGUAGAAAAUUAUCAGUCAACUAUUACAACUAACGACAAAUUUUUUUGCUUCUCAGUCUCUUCCCCAUUUUUAAUUUUAAGUUACUCACAAGCACACCCUUUGUUUCUCUUCAAAUUUCACACUUUCUGUGGAUUUUUUCGGCUAUAUUUUUUCUGGGGUUUAAUCCUUUUAUUUCCCAUUUUUUCUUGGAUUUCAGUUGUUUUUGGCUUUUUU